rnacentral:rRNA from 1 species
UACGGGGGGGGGCAAGCGUUGUUCGGAAUUACUGGGCGUAAAGGGCGCGUAGGCGGCUUGUACAGUCAGACGUGAAAUUCCUGGGCUCAACCUGGGGGCUGCGUUUGAUACGUGCGGGCUUGAGUUCGGAAGAGGGUCGUGGAAUUCCCGAGUCGUAGAGGUGAAAUCGUUAGAUAUUGGGAAGAACACCGGGUGGCGAAGGCGGCGUCAC